rnacentral:rRNA from 1 species
GAUGAACGCUAGCUACAGGCUUAACACAUGCAAGUCGCAGGGUAACAUGAGGAAAGCUUGCUUUCCUUGAUGACGACUGGCGCACGGGUGAGUAACGCGUAUCCAACCUUCCCAUAACUACGGGAUAACCCGUUGAAAGACGGCCUAAUACCGUAUGAUAUCGUUUGCUGACAUCAAAUAACGAUUAAAGGUUUAGCGGUUAUGGAUGGGGAUGCGUCUGAUUAGCUUGUUGGCGGGGUAACGGCCCACCAAGGCGACGAUCAGUAGGGGUUCUGAGAGGAAGGUCCCCCACAUUGGAACUGAGACACGGUCCAAACGCGUACGGGAGGCAGCAGUGAGGAAUAUUGGUCAAUGGGCGAGAGCCUGAACCAGCCAAGUAGCGUGGAGGACGACGGCACUAUGGAUUGUAAGAUGCUUUUAUGUGGGGAUAAAGUGCGUGACGUGUCAUGCAUUGCAGGUACAACAUGAAUAAGGACCGGCUAAUUCCGU